AAAAAACGAUCCUUUGAUAAUGCUUGGUGUUAGAGCGUUUCCGCCCUUCAGUGCCGCAUCUAACGCAUUAUGCAUUCCGCCUGGGGAGUACGACCGCAAGGUUGAAACUCAAAGGAAUUGACGGGGGCCCGCACAAGCGGUGGAGCAUGUGGUUUAAUUCGAAGCAACGCGAAGAACCUUACCAGGUCUUGACAUCUUUUGAUCACCUGAGAGAUCCGGUUUCCCCUUCGGGGGCAAAAUGACAGGUGGUGCAUGGUUGUCGUCAGCUCGUGUCGAGAGAUGUUGGGUUAAGUCCCGCAACGAGCGCAACCCUUAUGACUAGUUGCCAGCAUUUAGUUGGGCACUCUAGUAAGACUGCCGGUGACAAACCGGAGGAAGGUGGGGAUGACGUCAAAUCAUCAUGCCCCUUAUGACCUGGGCUACACACGUGCUACAAUGGAUGGUACAACGAGUUGCGAGACCGCGAGGUCAAGCUAAUCUCUUAAAGCCAUUCUCAGUUCGGACUGUAGGCUGCAACUCGCCUACACGAAGUCGGAAUCGCUAGUAAUCGCGGAUCAGCACGCCGCGGUGAAUACGUUCCCGGGCCUUGUACACACCGCCCGUCACACCAUGAGAGUUUGUAACACCCGAAGCCGGUGGCGUAACCCUUUUAGGGAGCGAGCCGUCUAAGGUGGGACAAAUGAUUAGGGUGAAGUCGUAACAAGGUAACCGUAAU
rnacentral:rRNA from 2 species